GAGGCAACACAGUAAGACAAGGGACUUCUUUGAAGACAUAGAAAGGUUUCGGACUUAAUGAAAUGAUAGCACAGCAGGCUCGCCCUCUCCGCGAGUUUCUGAGGGAGGCAUCUGUUACAUCCCAAAUUUGUCAAAAACAGAAGUAUUGAGGAGACCUUCAGCAUCCAAACCAGACUUCAUCCUUCACCACCCAUCCUUUGCCACAGAAGCAACAACGUCAUUUGGUGUGGAAAACUCUGGGAAGAAAAAACCCGAGCCAUGGAAAAAAAUGUUCAACAGGAAUCUGCCUCCAGCUCUGCAGACUUUCAAGUUCGCCCUUGCUUCUUGGGUCUGGAAGCAAGACUCUUGUGCCCAGAAUAUGGCUGGACGAAGAAGGCCGUUUCAAAUCACACCCUGAGGGCUAGGAACAGAACACUUAGUCUACAGUCUUCCAAAGAGGAUUGAAGGGCUGGACUAUAGAGGCUCCUUUCUCAUUGGCUCUUGGUGAUGUCAUGGCCCUGUCUCCAGGGCCCAGGAAAUUCACCGUGACUAAUGGAGCCCUCACUUGUGAAUACACAUUCCGUCUCGGAGGAGCAGCAACAGUCUGAGUGUCAGGGCAACACAGAAGGCCCAGUUAGGGAUGCCAGCCAGCCAUGCACAGAGGGGCUCAGAAGUUCUGAAAUAAGCUAUUGGUUCACCUUCUCAGUAAACCCUCACCGACUAUCUGUGGCCUGUACCUACUACAGGCCGAGAACUGUU
rnacentral:lncRNA from 1 species